AUGUCAGUGGUUCGAGUCCGCUUAUCUCCAGCCCGUGAACUUAGCGGAUACUAUGAUAGCGAUAGCACCGAAUUUUGCCAAUUCGGCAGUUAUGAUUUCACAUUCAUGGACGUUGAUAAGAUCCUUCCAUUUAGUAGCGCCUUAGGAUGGCAUAGCCUUAACGUUAAUGGCGAGGUUCAAAAGAGGAAAGGCUUGCGGUGGAUACCUAGGCACCCAGAGACGAGGAAGGGUGUAGCAAGCGACGAAAUCCUUCGGGGAGUUGAAAAUAAGCAUAGAUCGGGAGAUUCCCAAAUAGGUCAACCUUUUAAACUGCCUGCUGAAUCCACGAGCAGGCAAGAGACAACCUGGCGAACUGAAACAUCUUAG
rnacentral:rRNA from 1 species